rnacentral:lncRNA from 1 species
CCCUGUCACCCAGGCUUGAGUACAGUAGUGCUAUCACAGCUCACUGCAGCCUUGAACUCCUGGGCUAAGGAUCCUCCUACCUGAGCCUCCUGAGUAGCUAGGACUACAGGGUCUCCCUCUGUUGUCCAAGGCUGGAGUGUAGUAGUGCUAUCACAGCUGACUGCAGCCUCAACCUUCUAGGCUGAAGCGAUCCUCCCAUCUCAACCUCCCACGUGGCUGAGACUACAGGUGCUUGCCACUAUGCCCAACUAAUAUUUGGAAUUUUCGUAUACGUGGAUUCCAGAGGGGUGACAGCGAAAUCUCCUACCUCCCGGCAGCCUCUCCAGGCCCAGAACUUUCUCCAGUCAGCCUCUACAGACCAAGCUCAUGACUCACAAUGGCCUAUUUAGGCCCAUACCCUACCUCACGGCAGUCUCCGCAGAUGAGCCUACUGCCUCACAACAGCCUCCACAGGCACAGCUCCAUCGUUACAAUGGCCUCUUUAGACCCAGCUCCUGCCUCCCAGCCUUCUCUCCAGGCCCUGAACUUUCUCAAGUCGACCUCACCAGGCCCAGCUCAUGCUUCUUUGCAGCCUCUCCAGGCCCAACUCCUGCAUCUUGGUGGCCCCUCCAGGCCCAGCCUGUGCCUCCCGUCGGCCUCUACAAUCCCAACAUCUGCCUCACAGCAGAUUCUUCACGCCCAGCCUCUGCCUCACAGUGGACCCUCCAGACCCAGAUGGUGUCUCACUGUGGCAUCCUCAGGCGAAGCUCCUGCCUUUCAGCAGCCUCUCCAGGCCCAGCUCCUCCUGCCUCCCAGUGGCCUCUUUCGGCCCAGCCCAGCUCAUGCCUCCCGGCGGCCUUCCCAAGCCCCGCUUUUGACUUUUGGUGGCCUCUGCAGGCCUCGACAAGGCCCAGCCUCCUGCCUCCCGAAGGCCUGCACAGGCCCAGCCUCUGCCUCACAGCGGACUCUCCACGCCCAGCUAGCUCUCGCCUCACUGCGGCCUCCCCAGUCCAAAGCUCCUGCCUUUCGGCCACUUCGGCAGGUCCAGCUACUGCCUGCCAGUGGCCUCUUUAGGCCCAGCUCAUUCCUCACAACGGCCUUUCCAGGCCCCGUUUUUCCCUUCCGGCAGCCUCUUGGCUUCUAAUUUGUUUAUCUUUUGUGUAUAAAUCCCAAAAUAUGGAAUUUUGGAAUAUUU